UCCCUCUUUAGGGGCAAAGGUGAAGCCUUGCAACAAUAUACACAGCAUCCAUGUCUCUUAAUAUAGUUGUAGCAAUAUAGAUCUGUGGCCUACUUACAUGCUAAUCCUCUGGAAAUCUGAUUCAGGUCUUAAUUUGAUUUUGCGAUGAUUACAGCAAAAGGAAACAUGAUGCAGGUCUAAAAUUUCCAGAAAAAAAAAAAUCAAAUAGAGAAUCUAGAAUAUGCGACAUGUCACUAUUACAAACAAGAGCCUAGCUAAAAGAUGUACAGGGAAAUACAAAUAACAAUAAACCUAAACAAAGUCAUUGCUACUGCCAAAGAAACGCCUUCACGAAAAGUAUAAUUUUAAAAUCUGCAGAGUCACAAACAUACAAGUUGACUCUAAACUCUAAAGUUACAAGACAGGUUGAGUGAUGGAGAACUUUCAGAACAAUUUCUAAACAGUAACUUGUGCAGUUGAUGCAUCAUCAAAUAUCAACCUUCUAUGAGCUUUUUUAACUAUGAAAACCUGAUCGUUCAGAUGCAGUGGCCUGUGAUGCUUUGCUAGCAUCGUCAUCAUUCUCAUUGAGUCUUUCAUUUGACAGUGAUUCAUCAUCAUUUGACAAUGAACCAUUUGGGCCAUCAGGUGAAGAAAAAUUGAAUGCAUUUCCCCCUGGUACCGCUGGAGAGAUGGU
rnacentral:lncRNA from 1 species